CCGUGCUAGGUGGGGAGGUAGCGGUGCCCUGCACCCGCAAUCCGCUAUAGCGGGACUGAAUCCCCACCCGAGGAGCGGACCUGUGAGGUCGAGCUGCCGCCAAGUGGCGUUGACGACCGGGUCCCGCGCAAUGGGAAUCCGUGAACCGGGUCAGGACCGGGAGGUAGCAGCCCUAAGCGGACACUUCCAUGUGCCGCGGGGGUGCUUGGUCUGAGUCGGCUAGCGGCGGGCGCUUGGAGGCCUGUCUUCGACGGUGGGUGCACGG
rnacentral:SRP_RNA from 1 species